rnacentral:sRNA from 1 species
CAGCUUGUUCUGGGUUAAUAAAGUGAACGUGUGUAUCAAUACCACCCGCUGUAACAAUUUUACCUUCAGCAGAAAUAAUAUCUGUUGUACUUCCGAUGAUUAUAUUGACGUUAUCCAUAAUAUCUGGAUUACCCGCUUUACCGAUUGCAAAAAUAUAGCCGUUUUUAAUACCAAUGUCACCUUUAACUACUUUGUCAUAGUCAAUAAUGACUGCAUUAGUUAUAACUAAAUCGGCUACAUUUUUAUCAUCACGAGUCACGUUAGGAUUUUGAGCCAUACCAUCACGG